UGGGGGAUAUUGCACAAUGGGCGAAAGCCUGAUGCAGCGACGCCGCGUGGGGGAUGAAGGACUUCGGGUUGUAAACUUCUUUUGCUCUGAACAAGGCGCACCAUGGGGUGUGUUGAGUGUAGGGGUUGAUUAGCGCCGGCUAACUACGUGCUAGCAGCCGCGGUAAUACGUAGGGCGCGAGCGUUGUCCGGAAUUAUUGGGCGUAAAGGGCUUGUAGGUGGCUGGUUGCGUCUGUCGUGAAAGCUCAUGGCUUAACUGUGGGUUUGCGGUGGGUACGGGCUGGCUUGAGUGCAGUAGGGGAGGCUGGAAUUCCUGGUGUAGCGGUGGAAUGCGCAGAUAUCAGGAGGAAUACCGGUGGCGAAGGCGGGUCUCUGGGCUGUUACUGACACUGAGGAGCGAAAGCAUGGGGAGCGAACAGG
rnacentral:rRNA from 1 species